rfam:Sorghum bicolor cultivar BTx623 chromosome 2, whole genome shotgun sequence.
GUCGUCGGAUUUACCUUAAUCCACAUGUGUUGAAGUGGAUUGGCGUGAAAUUUAGUUCAAAUUUCAUUCUAAUUCACUCCAACACAUGUGGAUUGAUGCGAAUCCGACU